CAAACUUUUUGUUAUACUAGUACAGUCGUACAUCUCUACGGUUUUGUGGUAGCGGAUCAUACAAUGUUUUCCUGUUGCGACGACAAGAAGAAACAACUUCAGCCAGCGGAGCUGUCCCAACCAUCUCAGUGGCAGCGGCAAAGUGUUAGUGCUCCUACGUAUCACCCUCAGCCACAGAGUAUCAAUGUUGAAACUGGUACCAUGGAUGAGUUUUUUAUUUUAUUUUUUAAUGAUAUAUUAUUAUGGCUUUGAAUAUUUGAUGAUAGAUUUUUUUUUCUUUCUGAAGAUCACUUGCGGGUUAAAAGCGAGACUGUUGUGAAACCUGUUGUUCCGGUCAAGCCACAUGCCGUAGUCCAGGCGCCUAAGACUAAGGCUUUGGUGAAGAAGACCCACAGUAAGAGAGACAACGGAGCUUUAUUUACUGCGGCUUCUACUUCAGCAUUUGUUGGCGGUUGUGGGGGCAACGGUGACAGCAGUUGCGGUGGUGGCGGUGGCUGUGGCGGUGGUGG
rnacentral:lncRNA from 1 species